rnacentral:misc_RNA from 1 species
UCCGUGUUAACCACGGCAGUCUCUUUAGAGUGCCCAACUUAAUGCUGGCAACUAAAGACAAGGGUUGCGCUCGUUGCGGGACUUAACCCAACAUGUCACCACACGAGCUGACGACAGCCAUGCAGCACCUGUCACUCAGUUGUAUUGCUACAAAAACUGUAUCUCUACAGCGAUCCGAGGAUGUCAAACCCAGGUAAGGUUCUGCGCGUUGCUUCGAAUUAAACCACAUGAUCCACCGCUUGUGCGGGCCCCCGUCAAUUCCUUUGAGUUUUAAUCUUGCGACCGUACUUCCCAGGCGGGGUACUUAUUGCGUUAGCUCCGACUCGGCAGGGGUCAAAUCCCACCUAGUCUAGUACCCAUCGUUUACAGCGUGGACUAC